CUUCGGAUUCCAAGUACAGUGGCGCACGGGUGAGUAAUGGAUGAGUAACCUACCUUAAGGCACGGGAUAACCUCGCGAAAGCGAAGCUAAUACCGUAUAAGCUCCUGUUCUUUGCGAAGAGAAGGAGAAAAGAUUUAUCACCUUAAGAUGGGCUCAUUUCCCAUCAGGUAGUUGGCGGGGUAAAAGCCCACCAAGCCUAAGACGGGUAGCUGGUCUGAGAGGAUGGACAGCCACACUGGGACUGAGACACGGCCCAGACUCC
rnacentral:rRNA from 1 species